CGCGGGGUGGAGCAGCUCGGUAGCUCGUCGGGCUCAUAACCCGAAGGUCGCAGGUUCAAAUCCUGCCCCCGCAACCA
rnacentral:tRNA from 9 species